CUACGGGGGGCUGCAGUGAGGAAUAUUGCACAAUGGGGGGAACCCUGAUGCAGCAACGCCGCGUGGAGGAUGACGCAUUUCGGUGUGUAAACUCCUUUUAUAUGUCAAGAAAAUGACGGUAGUAUAUGAAUAAGCACCGGCUAACUCCGUGCCAGCAGCCGCGGUAAUACGGGGGGUGCAAGCGUUACUCGGAAUCACUGGGCGUAAUGGAAGCGUAGGCGGGUUGGAAAGUCAGGUGUGAAAUCCUACAGCUUAACUGUAGAACUGCACUUGAAACUUCUAAUCUAGAGUAUGGGAGGGGGAGAUGGAAUUAGUGGUGUAGGGGUAAAAUCCGUAGAUAUCACUAGGAAUACCUAAAGCGAAGGCGAUCUCCUGGAACAUUACUGACGCUAAGGCGUGAAAGCGUGGGGAGCAAACAGGAUUAGAUACCCUUGUAGUC
rnacentral:rRNA from 1 species